CCAGUCCGGCCCGAUGGGAUUUUGGGGCGUGACAAAAGUGGUAUCAGAGAGGUUCGUCCUAGUGAGUCUACAAAGCCGUGUCUACGUAGAGUCUUGUUUAUCGGUGUGUUGUGCACCACAUCUAUAAACAGGAGGCUAUGGACAUUUAGGAAUUGUUUCUUUUCUUCAUGUCUUAGAUCGUGCGAUAGAGCCUAUAUUGUAUAUGAAGUCAUAGUUGACCACUGAAUCCGUUUGUUUCUCUUAUUAUAGUAAUGAUGCCGG
rnacentral:lncRNA from 1 species